UAGCAGCACGGAAUGGUUUGUG
rnacentral:miRNA from 8 species